GGCAACUCUAACCUAAUAACUUCCAUCUUUCUCUCAAGCCCACAAUCUCUCUGUCACUCACCGGCCGCGACCUCUCUUAUUUUCUCCAAACCUUCCAUUCCAACCACUGAAGUCACACCAAGUCUCAAACCACCCUCCACGAGCAAUCCCAUCAGCUCUUUUUUUCGGCUCUUGAUGCCUACAAGCAGGGCCGGUUCUGUGAUUGUCAGGACCCGAGGUAAAGCCUAAAAAUUGGGCCUCCCUCCUGAAAUCAAUGUAAAUGCAAUAGAUAAAGUAUAUAUAUAUAUUGGGUCUGAGGCAUAGGCCUCAUUUGCCUAGCCCCAAGACCGGGCUUGCCUACAAGCUCAGAUUCUUCUACUGAAAGCGCAUUUCCUUUUUGAUCAUAUGGGAGGUUGUUGACGACAACUGAAUUCGAGCCUUGCUGAUUAAAGAUGUUUGGCCCAAGUAGUGCUAAAAGUAUUGGAUUAGGACCAAUACGCAUGGAAGAUAGCACGACCAAUAUAUCAAUGAGCAAUAUCCCACAAGAAGAUCCAGCUGAACCGUUACCAAAUGCGGAUGAAAGGCCAAUAAACCUAAAUGACGAGGAGCGCUAGUUGGAAAACUAUCUUUCGGAAAGAGGAAAUUGAUCACAUUGGAUUUUGAGAGUUCUUGCACGACCUGCAACCUAAGGUUCCUUCUUGCAAUACUUUGAAAAGCGUCAUUUUGAAAAUCUAUGAAUACGAGAAAAGAAAAAAAUAUGAUUGCACUUGAGAAGAUUGAUAGUCAAA